CUGCAAACUAGAUCACUAGCUCUGCAUGGUGUUGUAGAAGCAAGGGGAACACGUUUGCUAAAUAAAAGUAUGCCGAAGGACUAUAUUAGCCUUAAAGACUUGUCUUUCAGGCCUGUAGCUCCUUCUCCAACAUGUUU